rnacentral:rRNA from 1 species
UACAGGGGGUGCAAACGUUGCUCGGAAUCAUUGGGCGUAAAGCGCACGUAGGCGGUUCGUUAUGUCGGAUGUGAAAGCCCUUGGCUUAACCGAGGAAGUGCAUCCGAAACUGGCGAGCUAGAGUACUAAAGAGGAUCGCGGAAUUCCCGGUGUAGAGGUGAAAUUCGUAGAUAUUCGGAAGAACACCAGUGGCGAAGGCGACUUACUGGACACAUAUUGACGCUGAGGUGCGAAAAGCGUGGGGAGCAAACAGG